UCCUACGGGAGGCAGCAGUGGGGAAUAUUGCACAAUGGGCGCAAGCCUGAUGCAGCGACGCCGCGUGGGGGAUGACGGCCUUCGGGUUGUAAACUCCUUUCGCCAGGGACGAAGCGUUUUGUGACGGUACCUGGAGAAGAAGCACCGGCUAACUACGUGCCAGCAGCCGCGGUAAUACGUAGGGUGCAAGCGUUGUCCGGAAUUACUGGGCGUAAAGGGCUCGUAGGUGGUUUGUCACGUCGUCUGUGAAAUUCCACAGCUUAACUGUGGGCGUGCAGGCGAUACGGGCUGACUUGAGUACUGUAGGGGUAACUGGAAUUCCUGGUGUAGCGGUGAAAUGCGCAGAUAUCAGGAGGAACACCGAUGGCGAAGGCAGGUUACUGGGCAGUUACUGACGCUGAGGAGCGAAAGCAUGGGUAGCAAACAGGAUUAGAUACCCUGGUAGUCCAUGCCGUAAACGGUGGGCGCUAGGUGUAGGGGCCUUUUGGGGUUUCUGUGCCGUAGCUAACGCAUUAAGCGCCCCGCCUGGGGAGUACGGCCGCAAGGCUAAAACUCAAAGGAAUUGACGGGGGCCCGCACAAGCGGCGGAGCAUGUGGAUUAAUUCGAUGCAACGCGAAGAACCUUACC
rnacentral:rRNA from 1 species